rnacentral:rRNA from 1 species
UACGUAGGUGGCAAGCGUUGUCCGGAAUUAUUGGGCGUAAAGCGCGCGCAGGUGGUUUCUUAAGUCUGAUGUGAAAGCCCACGGCUCAGCCGUGGAGGGUCAUUGGAAACUGGGGAACUUGAGUGCAGGAGAGAAGAGUGGAAUUCCACGUGUAGCGGUGAAAUGCGUAGAGAUGUGGAGGAACACCAGUGGCGAAGGCGACUCUUUGGCCUGUAACUGACACUUGAGGCGACGAAAGCUG